rnacentral:rRNA from 1 species
GGGGGGUCAUCAGCGGCAGACGGGUGAGUAACACGUAGGUGAUCUACCCCAGAGAGGGGGAUAACGGGUGGAGACAUCCGCUAAUACCGGAUAGGCUUGUUCGGUCAAAGGGACAAGGAAAGGCUCCGGCGCUCUGGGAGGAGCCUGCGGNCCAUCAGCUAGUUGGCGGGGUAACGGGCCACCAAGGCAAAGACGGGUAGGGGGUGUGAGAGCAUGGCCCCCCACAAUGGGACUGGAACACGGCCCAUAGUCCUACGGGAGGCAGCAGCAGGGAAUAUUGCACAAUGGACGGAAGUCUGAUGCAGCGACGCCGCGUGGAUGAAGAAGGCCCUCGGGUUGUAAAAUCCUUUACAGGGGGAAGAGGAAGGACGGUACCCCUGGAACAAGUGUCGGCUAACUACGUGCCAGCAGCCGCGGUAAGACGUAGGACACAAGCGUUAUCCGGAUUUACUGGGCGUAAAGCGUCUGCAGGCGGACAGGUAAGUUGGGCGUGAAAGCUCCGGGCCCAACCCGGAGAGGUCGUUCAAUACUGCGUGUCUAGAGGGUGUCAGAGGGGAGUGGAAUUUCCGGAGUAGCGGUAAAAUGCGCAGAGAUCGGAAAGAACACCAAUGGCGAAGGCAGCUCCCUGGGGCAACCCUGACGCUUAGAGACGAAAGCUAGGGGAGCGAACAGGAUUAGAGACCCUGGUAGUCCUAGCCCUAAACGAUGGAUGCUGGAUGUGGGGCCAUAGCGCUCCGUGUCGAAGCGAACGCGUUAA